rnacentral:rRNA from 1 species
AUUGAACGCUGGCGGCAGGCCUAACACAUGCAAGUCGAACGAGUGGCGGACGGGUGAGUAAUGUCUGGGACACCCCCUGAUGGAGGGGGAUAACUACUGGAAACUGUCGCUUAUACCGUAUAAUCUCAUAUGUGCCCAGAUGGGAUUAGCUUGUUGGUGGGGUAACGGCUCCCCAAGGCGACGAUCCCUAGCUGGUCUGAGAGGAUGACCAGCCACACUGGAACUGAGACACGGUCCAGACUCCUACGGGAGGCAGCAGUGGGGAAUAUUGCACAAUGGGCGCAAGCCUGAUGCAGCCAUGCCGCGUGUAUGAAGAAGGCCUUCGGGUUGUAAAGUACUUUCAGCGGAGAGGCGUUACCCGCAGAAUAAGCACCGGCUAACUCCGUGCCAGCAGCCGCGGUAAUAC